rnacentral:misc_RNA from 1 species
GAAAUGCGAUAAGUAAUGUGAAUUGCAGAAUUCCGUGAAUCAUCGAAUCUUUGAACGCACAUUGCGCCCUCUGGUAUUCCGGGGGGCAUGCCUGUCCGAGCGUCAUUGCGAACCCCUCAACACGGCUUGUGUGAUGGGCCCUCCCGCGUCUUGGUCGUCAAGACGGGCCCGAAAUGCAGUGGCGGCUUCGCGGUUAUCCGAUCAGCCAGAGCGUAUGGGGACUCUCUCUCUUGUCACACGCCCGCGGCGCGGACCGACGCCUGUCGACCUUUAUUCAUCUUCUCUCGGUUGACCUCGGAUCAGGUAGGGAUACCCGCUGAACUUAAGC